rnacentral:lncRNA from 1 species
ACUCGGAAGGCAGAUAAACCACUGUCCUAAAAGAGAUUUCGGUCCCUUCUCGUGCGAAGAUCUGAGCCGCACACCCUCCUUCAAGGUACAGCCGGAAACUAAGCACUCCAACGUCUGUCGAUGGCACAAUCUUGAACGGACGCCGAUCAACUUCGUCCUCAUCCCAAUCAGUAAAAUGAACAAAAGAGAGAGAGCACGAAAAAAG